AGAGUUUGAUCCUGGCUUAGGAUGAACGCUAGCUACAGGCUAACACAUGCAAGUCGAGGGGCAGCAUGUUGGUGCUGCAACCAAUGAUGGCGACCGGCGCACGGGUGAGUAACGCGUAUCCAACCUUCCCCUUAGUAGGGCAUAGCCCGUAGAAAUGCGGAUUAAUACCCUAUGUUGUACAUUGAGGACAUCUGAUUUAUACCAAAGGUUUACCGCUAAGGGAUGGGGAUGCGUCUGAUUAGGUAGUCGGCGGGGUAACGGCCCACCGAGCCUACGAUCAGUAGGGUUCUGAGAGGAAGGUCCCCCACAUUGGAACUGAGACACGGUCCAAACUCCUACGGGAGGCAGCAGUGAGGAAUAUUGGUCAAUGGACGAGAGUCUGAACCAGCCAAGUAGCGUGCAGGAUGACGGCCCUAUGGGUUGUAAACUGCUUUUAUACGGGGAUAAAGUGAGGGACGUGUCCCUUUUUGUAGGUACCGUAUGAAUAAGGACCGGCUAAUUCCGUGCCAGCAGCUGC
rnacentral:rRNA from 1 species